AAGUCAGACAGAUGCACGCGUUCGGGAAAUGACACGAGAGAGCAGGGUUGGACUCCAACUCUGGACGACAAUCUACAGUUUUAUGGUUUUCCCAGUAUGCGUUAGCCACUAAGAUAGCAGACGUUUGAUAGAAUAAUUUAGUAACACUAGCAGGUGUGUGUGUGUGUUGACAGUACUACGAAAAAUAAUCCGUAUCGUCGUCCUGACAACUUGAUGUACAGCGGUAAAAUUCAGGCGUCUAUUUUCACCCCCUAACAUCCACUUACUGGAAGGGAUCGGCCCCCAUAUUGGAACCAAUUUGCACAAGCAUUGUUACUCUGGAGUGUCACAUGACCAGGUGGUCUACCAAAAAGAACAAUGACACACAAUAGCCAGCGCCUGCGUGUGUGUUUAUCGAGCGGCCUUUGCCGCGUAAUGACAGUUAUUCCGAAAACGCAUCCCUCCAUCAAACCAUCAAACUAGCACCUGAUCAUGUAGUGGGGGGGGGGUUGCGGUAGAUAUCCAACGGGGGCGCUCCGGUGGCGGAUUUACGGUGCUGACCUUGGCACGAGCCAUCCUGCAAUCUAGUCUUUAUAACGGGAUCUCUGUGGACGCGGAAAAUUAUAUCUGCACGCCAUAAUGGAGGCUCUAUUCGGCUUGAUCGAAAUUUUACGCUAGAUUUAAAAAGCCGCGAUGUGUAUUUUCUAAACACAAACAGCCCCUUGCAGAUGUUUCUUUUUCAGAACUCCGCUGGUGCUUGAGAGGAAAUCAGGGAAGUUGCACAUAGAUGACCUUUCUCCCCCAAACGUUUUUUAAGAUCGACGUGAGCAGCGGCUGUUUGAUGUGGCCGUCCGUCACUGUGUGCUUUCAAUCGGCCCACUUGUCUGCUCUCUCUGUGGUUGACAUUUGAAGACAGACUUACUCUUCUAAAGCAAGAGUAAAACAAAACAAAAAAGAAAUCCAGACAGACCAUGUGUGCAUCUUUUAAUUACAUGUCGGAAGAGCAUCAAGGGAGCCAGGUGGCUCGCUCGGUUCAUUGUGAGGCUGUUGCGUGGCUUUUGCUCUCCCGUCCCCAAAACAUGCAAGUUAGCUUCCAAGUUAGCGCCGUGAAUGCUUUUGCGUGUCCUGCGAGCGCUCCGGGCUUCCUCUCCCUCCCUUCCUUUCGCAAGCGUGUGCGUGUCCACAACGCUGCUCUCUGACCUCCCGAAGCUGUUAUGUAAGUGCCACUCGAAAUAUUUGCAUGAGCGGCCACUUUUGCAGCUGUCCAGUUCAGAGGCAUGUUUCUCUUUUCAAGGCUUCUUCCUUUUUGUCUUCCCAUGACACGGGGCAAGGACUCAAUGGCGUCCAUCGACGGCGGCGCGGGACGGAAGGCGCUUUUCGCCUCGUAAACAGACGAGCGAGUCAACAGCGUGACUUUGGCGUGAAAAGGCCGCACUUUCAUGUGGCGCUUAAAUGAAGCCUUUUGAUGGACGCGCCAGCCUAACGGGGGCCUCAGUAAGUCCCCCUUGGUGGGGCCGAGCUGCUGGCCCUCACACAGGUCCGCUGUUCUCAUUCUCAAAAGUGCGUGUGUCUCCUUGCGACCUGUUUGGAUUCCUGCAGGAAGUUCAGCCAGCGCGUAUAGCGAGGUGUCACUCCAACGACGACAUUAAUGAGCUUUUGGAUCAAAAGGCCUCAUUCAAAGCGGACAUUGAGAAUUUGACUUUCCAUUCAAUUAUUGACAUUGUCAUCAAUUUGAUAAUCAACCCAUGAGUGGGCCACCUCACAUUUUGCCAAGCAAUUUGAUGUUUUAAGAACCCUCGGAAUAUUGUGUUUAGUGAAAUGAUCUAAAUCACCGUUUUUUUUCGUGUAUAGUGCGCAAAAUUUAACUAAUUUAUUGUCCUAAAAUCUGGGGUGCGCAUUAUACAUGGGUACAAUUUUUUUUAAUUUUUUUUUAUUUUUAAUUUUCUUUUUAAAGAAAGUCAUGGUACAACAUACGACCGCAAUGCUCUCGCAUCACACGCUUGCUCGAUCACCUGCUCGUUUGCUGUCUGUCACAAUGUACCCUACACAAAUCCGAAACAUUUGUUGCGGCUCCGAGUCACGACGAGGGGCAAGUUUUGGUUUCCAAGGGUGUUUUUAUUCCUCUUCAACGUCUCUCCCAUACAGAGCCGCCUUUUUCACGUCCGCACGCCUUUUUCACAUGCGCGCACGGAGCGCGGUGGUGCGUUUACGGGCAGUCGGAGAAAUCAACGCCAACAAAAAAAAUUACAUCCAGCCUAGUUAAGACCAUACCAAAGACUAUAAAAAUGGGACCCAUUGCCUCCCUGCGUGUGUGACGAUCAUUGGGACUUAAAAAAAAAAAAAAAAAAUUAAAAAAAAUUCAUAAAAAUUGGGUGCGUAUUAUACAUGGGUACAGGCUUUUUUCCAGCAUCAGCAUGCCAUUUUUAGGGUGCGUAUUAUACAUGGGGGCGCAUUAUACACGGAAAAAAACGGUAUUUAAAAUCUUUGAUUAUUUAAGUGAAAAUGAUUCCGAUUAUUUGAAUUAAUUCAUUCGAUGAUUUGAAUUCUCUUCCCUGAAAAUUCUACUUUGCGUACAGUCAUUUGUACAUUGCAGCUUCCUACCAAGCCGCAAACAAACAAACGAUCCAGUUGUCCCUUUUUGGCCUUUGAAAUGUCCAUCGAGGAGAUCCAGGCAGGCGCAGAUAAACAAGAGCGUCCGGAGGCUUGCUCUUCAGACUCCAACUUUAGACAAGCCUGUCAUUAAGGUCGCCUUUAGCGGGACCAGAGCCGCGCUCUGGGCCACAAGGCCUCGCUCGUCUUUCUGCGGCUGCUGGCACCUAAAAUACGCAGCUGGCGAUUACUAAGCGCGGCCUUUUGCGUAACACACACACACACACACACAUAUAUACUGCAGAUCUAUGGAGCUAGUUGUUGUAUAUGCCCAGAGAAAAAUAUAGGACGCCCGUCAGGAGCUACUAAUUUUCAUGUUGUCCCUCGAUAGUUCUGUGUGUCAUCGAGGCUCGCCAGUUGUAGUUUGCUUUUUGCGUUCACAUGGAAAUACAAACCACUUUAAAGCCUUGUGCAGGGAGGGCGGCCUGCAACUUUACGGUGUUUUUCUAAUAAUUUGGGUUUGAUCAUCAAAAGGCUUUGGUGUCUGUCUGUCUGCUGUGAGGGCUGCACCUUGCAUGUGCACCAGAUGUCCACUGGAGGGCGCAUGUUUACCUCCUGAAGCACAAUCGUAUUCAUUUUGACAUUUGUAGCAGACUGGUCCCGUUUGGACCCUUAGAACAGAGGUCGCCAACCGCCGGGCCGCGGACCGUUCCGUGUGUCACUUGGUACCGGGCCGCCAAGCCGCACAGAAAGAAUUUUUUUAUUUUUUUUAUCGAGGAUCAAUUCAUUCAGGUGCCCUGUCACGUGACAUGUCCCCCACCCCCUCCCCCCAGUCGAGCCCGUAAAGCUAGCAAAAAUGAGUAAGAAUUUAUUUUGAAAAAUAGUCCAAUUUGGCGAUUCUCGGCUAAUUACAUCCGCCGGUGCAUCAGUGUCUCUUGACGAUCGUCCCGGUCAUGUGACGUCACUCCGGUCAUGUGACGUCACUCCAGUCGAGCCCGCGAAACUAGCAAAAAUGAGCUAGAAGCCGAGAUGUUUGGAAAGCUUCUUCGGAAAGGGGAAAAAAGCCCAAGAAGAAGAGGCUACGACUUUUAAGUAAAGGCUAGCUAACGAAGCGAUGAAGCCUCCAAAACCGCUUCGGCCCAUGGAGACCAAGCGUCCUGCAUUAAAAGACCAAGCUUUGGAAUUCUUUGAAAAAAACAAAAAACGUGGUCAAGAAGAACAGAAGCAAUCAGUGAAGGUCACCACAAGCACAUCAACAAAGGUGAGUGCUCCAUCGUUCUUAAUGGCUAACCCUAUUGCUAAGGCGAAGAAAUGGUGAAGAUUUCUGAGAAACAAACUUCCUCUAAUUCAACAUAAAGGUGAGUUUUAUUUUUAUAUUUCUUAUAAAGGCCGGUUUCUGACACGUCACCGGUCCAUGGCUCAAAAAAAGGUUGAAGACCACUGUCCUACUGGAGAUGUGAAGGAAGGCCCUCCUAAAAUGGCUGUAAACGGAACAGGAAGGAUCAUUUUUCAGCAAAAUUAAAAUAGAAGAGGAAAAAUCAGCUCGACUUGCUUGGAUCUUGACCAAAUGUGGCUGGUUCAAAACAUAAAGCUGAGACAUUCCCAAGAAUGCGCGACUUUGUUUUCUUCGUUUCCGUCGGAGUGCUGGCUUCAUUUUUUUGGUGCAUUUCAAGCUGCGGUGACGCAAAGCACUCGCCACAUUGGCCUCGCGAGGGCCUUCAUUUACCUGACAGCCGAGUCAGGGGGAUAAAUAGAUAAAUAGAGAGAGAAAGAUGGAUAGGCACAAAGUAAUAAAUGAGCAGGCGGGAAGGGAGCGCUUGAAGCAGGCCAGACAGAAUGGCUUUCGAUGAGGGAUGAUGUGUGAGAGGAAGCCAAGGGAGAUAGCGCUUGAAAAAGAGAGCAGCUCAGCAUAAAUUCAGCUUUUGUGAUGUAACGCCGAACGAGGUGGUUUACUCCAACGUGCAAGGAGCUCCAAAUGUUAUUCUGCGCUCCGCUUGUUGACCGCCACUGGAAAUGGCACCGAAAUAGACCUUCUUGACCAUUCCCAGCUCCGCAGAAAUAACACGGGCGCAUAGAGGCCGCAUUCAACGCAGCUAAAGGGACACUAUUGUGUAGCAUCGCUUUGAGGAAGUCACAAAGAAGAGGCCCGGCGUGCUCGCUUCAAGCUGUUUGUCACCCCUAGGUGAAGUUAAAUGGACUUUUAAAGAGGACUAAACAUUGUGUAGCUAAACAGCAAACCGUAUCCAAAAAAAAAAAAAGAGAAGUCUGCCUGCCUAAUGCUAAUGUGUGAAAUGCUAUAGACAUGCUAACAGACGUUAGCAUGGAUGGAAGAUGGACGUUUCUGCUUUUGGGCUCAAUUAAUGAUGAUGAAUGAAAUAAAUACAUUAAAUUUAGCUGAAUGUCCAAAAACCCAGCAGUGCACCCCAAGGUCAAGUUUGCGCGACUCGUUAUAGAACAGACCUCCGCCGCACAAAUCUUUUUAAUUGGCAACAAAUGGAACACUGUCAUGGAAAGUGACAUCGUGCCUGUGCCUGCUUUUCCAAUUAAAAUUGAUCUUUUUUUUUUUUACCUGUGGAAAAAUCCUCGAAGGUUUUACGCACCUUUAUCUGAACGUGCACCACGAGCAGCCUCGGUAAGCCAAAAAUUUAUACGAGUGCGACUUUACUGUAAGCGUUCGUGGAAAGUCCCUAAAUGAACGCAGACAUUAGCGAUUAGGAAAAAAUGAGAAAAAUAAUAGAGCGAGUGAAACGAUCGAUAAAGCACCAACCGCUGGCGUCGUAAAAAAAAUAAUCUUAUCACGUGUCGUGAAUUGGCGGAAUCGUAGAAAUGAUGUGCAGUCAAAGCGGGAUGCGUUUGAAAAUGAUGUGAUGGAACGUGAUGGUGUGCCACUUGACUUAGCGCCGCAUUUAACGAGUUCCACAAAUGAUGCUUUCCAGAUUCCGACACUUAUCGAGUCGUAAAAAGACUCGGCGAGUUUUUAUUUUUAUUUUUUUUUUUACAGCCGGCCAAUUAUGACAAUUUCUCACAAUGACGUACGCUCCAAAUUGCUUUUGUCUCUGUUGCGCCAUAAUACAAAAUAUUCACCCAUUUGGCAAAUUGGGACUUGAAACACCUUCAGAGUAAAAGUUUUUUUAUUUCCACCAAUUAGCAUGUGUUCCAAAUAAACGAACAUGCUACGACUGCGAGACUGCGACUUGCUUUCUACUUGUUCCACAAAAUUGUCUCAGUAUUAUUUAUUGUUCAAAGGCUCCCGCAAAUGUGUCCCACUUUCUUCUCGGCGGUCUUCAAACCCAGAAGGCUUUUUUUUUUUUUUGGCGAAUGCCUUUUUGAAGACAGAGCGCUGAAUGACGGGCUUUCUUCCGUCGCUCCUUCUGCACCGUUUUAAACGUCACAGAGGCCUUCCUAUCGCUCGCCAGAGGAAAUGAAAUGUUUAUUGUGCAGUCCUGAGGGCUUUGGUAGCCGAGCGCUGUGUUCUUAGUCUUAACGGCGAGGAUCCGCUUUUCUUCCCGUGCGAUGGAGGCGGUCGGGUCGGAGGGCCGAAGAUUGUCCGAGCUGCGCCCGUCCAAGCUGGUGUCGCGGAAGGAUAUCAUUUUGCCCCACGACUCCCGUCGAAGGGGAAAUUCUUCCAAUUUCCGGCAUUGGGUCGUCGCCGCUAUCGGGACCAUCUGAAAGUCAUUCCCUGCAACACCGGGCAAUAAAGAGCUUGGAGCCUCUUUGGAAGAAUUUGUCACUAACUGCCCAACUGUUAAGUGAAGUUGAGUGCAAAUUUCUGCUUGCUAGUCAAGUUAAAAAAAAAAAAGCCGCCAAAUGACGGC